rnacentral:rRNA from 1 species
GCCUUAAGCAUAACAAGUAUUUAAGGUACUGCCUGCCCAGUGACACAUGUUAAACGGCCGCGGUACUCUGACCGUGCAAAGGUAGCAUAAUCACUUGUUCCUUAAUUAGGGACUAGAAUGAACGGCCACACGAGGGCCAAACUGUCUCUUAUCUCCAAUCGGUGAAAUUGACCUCCCCGUGAAGAGGCGGGAACAAAAAUACAAGACGAGAAGACCCUAUGGAGCUUCAAUUAACUAACUCAAAUACAAAAAUAUAAGUCUAAGGACAUAAAAAAAUAUUAAUGAGUUAGCAAUUUUGGUUGGGGUGACCUCGGAGAACAAAAAAACCUCCGAAUGACAUAGACCUAGACUUCACAAGUCAAAGUGCUAAAAUCAUCUACUGAUCCAACCCAUUGAUCAGCGGAAUAAGUUACCCUAGGGAUAACAGCGCAAUCCUAUUCUAGAGUCCCUAUCGACAAUAGGGUUUACGACCUCGAUGUUGGAUCAGGGCAUCCCAAUGGUGUAGCCGCUAUUAAA